rnacentral:rRNA from 1 species
AUUGAACGCUGGCGGCAGGUUUAACACAUGCAAGUCGAACGAGUGGCGGACGGGUGAGUAAUGUCUGGGAAACUGCCCGAUGGAGGGGGAUAACUACUGGAAACGGUAGCUAAUACCGCAUACUAUCGGAUGAACCCAUAUGGGAUUCGCUAGUAGGUGGGGUAAAGGCUCACCUAGGCGACGAUCUCUAGCUGGUCUGAGAGGAUGAACAGCCACACUGGGACGGAGACACGGCCCAGACUCCUACGGGAGGCAGCAGUGGGGAAUAUUGCGCAAUGGGCGCAAGCCGGAUGCAGCCAUGCCGCGUGUAUGAAGAAGGCCUUCGGGUUGUAAAGUACUUUCAGUAGGGAGGCGUUACCGACAGAAAAAGCACCGGCUAACUCCGUGCCAGCAGCCGCGGUAAUAC